UACGGAGGGUGCAAGCGUUAUCCGGAUUCACUGGGUUUAAAGGGUGCGUAGGCGGUUCGGUAAGUUUUGUGUGAAAUCUUCGGGCUUAACUCGAAGUCUGCACAAAAUACUGCCGGGCUUGAGUAUGGGAGAGGUGAGUGGAAUUUCCGGUGUAGCAGUGAAAUGCGUAGAUAUCGGAAGGAACACCUGUGGCGAAAGCGGCUCACUGGACCAUAACUGACGCUGAGGCACGAAAGCUAGGGGAGCAAACAGG
rnacentral:rRNA from 1 species